rnacentral:rRNA from 1 species
GAUGAACGCUGGCGGCGUGCCUAACACAUGCAAGUCGAGCGGAGAUUUCAAGAAGUACUUGUACGGACAGGAAUCUUAGCGGCGGACGGGUGAGUAACACGUGAGCAAUCUGCCUUUUGCUGGGGAAUAACAUUGUGAAAACAGUGCUAAUACCGCAUGACAUCCGACCGGGGCAUCCCGGACGGAUCAAAGGAGAAAUCCGGCAGAAGAUGAGCUCGCGUCCGAUUAGCUAGUUGGUGAGGUAACGGCUCACCAAGGCGACGAUCGGUAGCCGAACUGAGAGGUUGAUCGGCCACAUUGGGACUGAGACACGGCCCAGACUCCUACGGGAGGCAG